rnacentral:rRNA from 1 species
GAUAAACGCUGGCGGCGCACAUAAGACAUGCAAGGUCGAACGGACUUAACCAUUAGUUUACUAUUGGAGCGGUUAGUGGCGGACUGGUGAGUAACACGUAAGCAAUCUGCCUAUCAGAGGGGAACAACAGUUAGAAAUGACUGCUAAUACCGCAUAUGCCUAAGUAACACAUGUUACAAUAGGGAAAGGAGCAAUCCGCUGAUAGAUGAGCUUGCGUCUGAUUAGAUAGUUGGUGGGGUAACGGCCUACCAAGUCGACGAUCAGUAGCCGGUCUGAGAGGAUGAACGGCCACAUUGGGACUGAGAUACGGCCCAGACUCCUACGGGAGGCAGCAGUGGGGAAUAUUGGGCAAUGGGGGAAACCCUGACCCAGCAACGCCGCGUGAAGGAAGAAGGCCUUCGGGUUGUAAACUUCUUUUACCAGGGACGAAGAACGUGACGGUACCUGGAGAAAAGCAACGGCUAACUACGUG